rnacentral:pre_miRNA from 1 species
UAUAUAUAUACAGAUAUUCUCCUGUGCGAACGUCCAGAAGUUAUUACUGUACGGACGCCAUGUAUUUUCUACCACUCCUCCCUCAUUUCCUCCCUGUUUACAAUGGCAUCGGCAUGGUAAUAACUUCCGAACGUCCGCAUAGGGGAAGAACUGGUAUAUAUG